UUAGUAUAGUUUGGGAAAGAACUCCUUGUGUGUGAUCAUGUUUGUUUGCUUGUUUUUCUCAAAUCUUGUCUUAUACCUGAGAACCACUUCGAAUCUAAAAGAUAAACGUAUACCUAGUUCUUUCCUGAAAUACCAGAAAUUGCAAGCUUGUCAAAUUGUGAUUAAUGAGGAUUUACUGGAUAUCAACAUAUGAGUCUUCGAUCACCAAGAAAGCAAAGUAUAUUCCACCUGCAUGACAGUUUAGGCUGUGAAUAUCAAGAAUAUAAUGUUAUGACCUAAGAAAUCUGAGGAUAUCGUCCUUCUGCUUGCUGAAAAUCAUGGAAUUAAAAAGAUAUAGAGUCCAUUCUGAGAAAUUCAAUUUCAUCAAAUGGAAAGUGAAAGCAUCUCCAAUUCUAUAUAUACACUGAAGCUUUCAUGCCCCAUUUACACUACUCGUAUCGAAUCCCGUAAUAAGUUUCUGCCUAUUGAGUCCAAAUAAAUGGUGGUUAUCAAAA
rnacentral:lncRNA from 1 species